UACCUGGUUGAUCCUGCCAGUAGUCAUAUGCUUGUCUCAAAGAUUAAGCCAUGCAAGUCAUAAGUACGAGCUCUCGUACAGUGAAACUGCGAAUGGCUCAUUAAAUCAGUUAUGGUUCAUUUGAUCGUACAGUUUACUUGGAUAACUGUGGUAAUUCUAGAGCUAAUACAUGCGAGAAGCGCCGACCUCGCGGGAGGCGUGCAUUUAUCAGACCAAAAACCGGCCGCGUCUUCGGGCGCGUUCGCCUUGGUGACUCUG
rnacentral:ncRNA from 1 species